UCUAUUUUGGCAGAAAAGUGCGGUAGAUUUAGGAUCUACAUAUGUAAGUAUUUACAAAUAGAA
rnacentral:tRNA from 1 species